GUAGAACACAAGAGGCAACGCCUCUUCUCUCUUCCCUCUCUCUCUUGCUAACGUUACUCUCUCUUUCUCUCUGCUGCUUGUUGUUCUUUUUUUAUCGUGAAAACCAAACAAAAUCAAACAUCUAUUUCUCUCUUCUGAAAGACAAAAACAACUAUGGCCCCUUUCUCGGAUCUCACUCGAUUUCUCUAAAACAACAACGAUUCUCCUCUCUCGGUUCUCCUCCUCGCGUUAUCUCUCUGCUCUCAACGUGAACGAUAACAGAACCACUCCUCAACGGAAGUUUCACGGCGGCCAUGGAGGAGAGUUGCUCAAACUAUUACUCAAAUUUACAGCCAGAAGUAAAAACCCAGACUCAAACACACACAAGAACUUUAAAGCUAGCAAACAUAAUGAUUCAGUGCGAUUUCUAUUCUACUGGGAAAAUAAAGUUCACAGCAAUAUCAUUGAGAGUGAGUUCGGAAUCGAUUUACCUGCGGCGAGGAGACUUUCGCCGGAUUUUGUUGAGCUUCACAAUAACUUGUUGCUGGAAGCGUCGGGUGCUGUGUUGAAGAUGAUGUGGGGCUGCCACUGAAGUCCGAAGGCUUUUGAUGAAGGUGGUGCCAAACACCUCUUUGGAUUGUUUCAAGACUUGAAGAUGGAAUUCAAGUUGGAUUUCUCCACCAAGGUAUGAACAACUUCUUCACUCCUUUUCAAACUAUGGGACUAAGAAACUUUGAAAAUUAUGAGAGAAAAGGGAGGAGUGAAAAAAGCAAGUAGUUAAGGUUGCUUUUUUUUCAUUUGCAAUGAAGAGAACACUUCUAUUUAUAGGAAAAGCUUAGGAUGUGUUUGGCAAUUGGUAAUCUUGAUUAGCAAGUUUCAAUCAUGGCAAGAAUAAGAAUAAGCAUAUAUUCUUCAUCAUUGCAAGAAUAAGAAUAAGAAUAUAUUCUUCAUCAUUGCAAGAAUAAGAAUAAGAAUAAGAAUAUUCUUAUGCAAAUAUAUUUUUCAUGAUAUAAGCCAUGUGUGUAAAUUUUUAUGUCAUUUUAUGAUAUCUCUAAGUUGCAUAAUUUUAUGACAUAAAAAUCUCUCUUUGACAUUCUUUGACUUUUGCUAAUUUCACCCCUCUUUGUUUCUUUUU